GUCCUUCUUGAGUAUGGGAGAGGAGAGCGGAAUUCCCAGUGGAGAGGUGAAAUUCGUAGAUAUUGGGAAGAACACCAGUGGCGAAGGCGGCUCUCUGGACCAAUACUGACGCUGAAGUGCGAAAGCGUGGGGAGCAAACAGGAUUAGAGACCCUGGUAGUCCACGCUGUAAACGAUGAGAACUAGGUGUAGCGGGUAUUGACCCCUGCUGUGCCGCAGUUAACGCAUUAAGUUCUCCGCCUGGGGACUACUGCCGCAAGGUUAAAACUCAAAGGAAUUGACGGGGGCCCGCACAAGCGGUGGAGUAUGUGGUUUAAUUCGACGCAACGCGAAGAACCUUACCUGGGCUUGACAUCCUCUGACAGCUCCGGAAACGGAGUCUUCCCGGUUUACCGGGACAGAGUGACAGGUGCUGCAUGGCUGUCGACAGCUCGUGUCGUGAGAUGUUGGGUUAAGUCCCGCAACGAGCGCAACCCUUGUCUUUAGUUGCCAGUAUUAAGUUAGGCACUCUAAAGAGACUGCCUCGGUUAACGAGGAGGAAGGUGGGGAUGACGUCAAGUCCUCAUGGCCUUUAUGCCCAGGGCUACACACGUACUACAAUGGACUGUACAAAGGGUCGCUACACUGCAAAGUGAUGCUAAUCCCAAAAAGCAGUCCCCAGUUCGGAUUGGAGUCUGCAACU
rnacentral:rRNA from 1 species